CCUAGACCGCCGGGCGCGGGGCCCCCGCGGAACGAAUUUCUGCUAAUGAACGAAACAAACAGGUCCUGUAAUCUUACCAUCAGGAUGACCCGACACUGGCACAGACACCCAGACCGUCCUAAUUGGCAGGUCAGGAUCAAAAUCCCAUACAUCACCGUGACUUGAUAGGUUGAGCGAAAAUGAGGUUCGAGUGUUACUUUUCCCAAUUCAUCAACAUGGUGCCACGAAAUAAGGAUUGCAGAAGGGAUCGUCUCCACCAGAAUGGACUAUCAUGCUGGAGACUGAUCUAAGGAACAGAGUCCAGGAAACUGGUGUUUACCAGGGAGAAAAGAGCUAAACUGAGAGUCAGACCCUGGGCUGCAGGCACCAUCCUGUGCCCUGCUAUGCUCUUUAUUCAAUAAGUUUCAGUUGCAUCAGGGCCAAGUGAUAGGCUUAAUUGAUGGUGCCACUUCCAAUUCAUCAAGUCCUCGGCUCUUACUUCAAAACAUAUCUAGUUCUUUCAAUUACUAAGUGUUCACAGUGUGUUAGCAUGAGAAUAUAUGAGUGAGGGAUCCCUGGGUGGCGCAGCGGUUUGGCGCCUGCCUUUGGCCCAGAGCGGGAUCCUGGAGACCCGGGAUCGAAUCCCACAUCGGGCUUC